rnacentral:misc_RNA from 1 species
CCGAGUUAUUCCAACUCCCAAACCCACUGUGAACCUUACCUCCAACGUUGCUUCGGCGGGACCGCCCCGGGCCCCCGCGCCCGGAACCAGGCGCCCGCCGGAGGCCCAAAACUCUCCUGUCUCUUAUAGUGGCAUUCUUCUGAGUGGCCUUAAACGGCAAGCAAAUGAAUCA